GCGGACGGGUGAGUAACGCGUGAGAAACUGGCUCUAGGUCGGGGACAACCACUGGAAACGGUGGCUAAUACCGGAUGUGCCGAGAGGUGAAAGAUUAAUUGCCUAGAGAUGAGCUCGCGUCUGAUUAGCUAGUAGGUGUGGUAAGAGCGCACCUAGGCGACGAUCAGUAGCUGGUCUGAGAGGAUGAUCAGCCACACUGGGACUGAGACACGGCCCAGACUCCUACGGGAGGCAGCAGUGGGGAAUUUUCCGCAAUGGGCGAAAGCCUGACGGAGCAAUACCGCGUGAGGGAGGAAGGCUCUUGGGUUGUAAACCUCUUUUCUCAAGGAAGAACAAAAUGACGGUACUUGAGGAAUAAGCAUCGGCUAACUCCGUGCCAGCAGCCGCGGUAAUACGGAGGAUGCAAGCGUUAUCCGGAAUGAUUGGGCGUAAAGCGUCCGCAGGUGGCUAUGUAAGUCUGCUGUUAAAGAGUGAGGCUCAACCUCAUAAGAGCAGUGGAAACUACAUGGCUAGAGUGCGUUCGGGGCAGAGGGAAUUCCUGGUGUAGCGGUGAAAUGCGUAGAGAUCAGGAAGAACACCGGUGGCGAAAGCGCUCUGCUAGGCCGCAACUGACACUGAGGGACGAAAGCUAGGGGAGCGAAUGGGAUUAGAUACCCCAGUAGUCCUAGCCGUAAACGAUGGAUACUAGGCGUGGCUUGUAUCGACCCGAGCCGUGCCGGAGCUAACGCGUUAAGUAUCCCGCCUGGGGAGUACGCACGCAAGUGUGAAACUCAAAGGAAUUGACGGGGGCCCGCACAAGCGGUGGAGUAUGUGGUUUAAUUCGAUGCAACGCGAAGAACCUUACCAAGACUUGAC
rnacentral:rRNA from 1 species